AUUGAACGCUGGCGGCAGGCCUAACACAUGCAAGUCGAGCGGAGCGGCGGACGGGUGAGUAAUGCCUAGGAAUCUGCCUGGUAGUGGGGGAUAACGUCCGGAAACGGGGCUAAUAACCCCAUCUAUCAGAUGAGGCUAGGUCGGAUUAGCUAGGUGGUGGGGUAAAGGCCUACCAAGGCGACGAUCCGUAACUGGUCUGAGAGGAUGAUCAGUCACACUGGAACUGAGACACGGUCCAGACUCCUACGGGAGGCAGCAGUGGGGAAUAUUGGACAAGGGGCGAAAGCCUGAUCCAGCCAUGCCGCGUGUGUGAAGAAGGUCUUCGGAUUGUAAAGCACUUUAAGUUGGGAGGCGUUACCAACAGAAUAAGCACCGGCUAACUUCGUGCCAGCAGCCGCGGUAAUAC
rnacentral:rRNA from 1 species